rnacentral:rRNA from 1 species
GAUGAACGCUGGCGGCGUGCCUAGUACAUGCAAGUCGAGCGAACAGACGAGGAGCUUGCUCCUCUGACGUUAGCGGCGGACGGGUGAGUAACACGUGGAUAACCUACCUAUAAGACUGGGAUAACUUCGGGAAACCGGGGCUAAUACCGGAUAAUAUAUUGAACCGCAUGGUUCAAUAGUUAAAGACGGUUUUGCUGUCACUUAUAGAUGGAUCCGCGCCGCAUUAGCUAGUUGGUAAGGUAACGGCUUACCAAGGCGACGAUGCGUAGCCGACCUGAGAGGGUGAUCGGCCACACUGGAACUGAGACACGGUCCAGACUCCUACGGGAGGCAGCAGUAGGGAAUCUUCCGCAAUGGGCGAAAGCCUGACGGAGCAACGCCGCGUGAGUGAUGAAGGUCUUCGGAUCGUAAAACUCUGUUAUUAGGGAAGAACAAAUGUGUAAGUAACUAUGCACGUCUUGACGGUACCUAAUCAGAAAGCCACGGCUAACUACGUG